rnacentral:tRNA from 1 species
UUUAGUAUGGCAGAUAAGUGUAUUGGAUUUAAGACCCAAAUAUAAAGAGUAACCUUUUACUAAAC